CCUACGGGAGGCAGCAGUAGGGAAUUUUCCACAAUGGGCGAAAGCCUGAUGGAGCGACGCCGCGUGGGUGAAGAAGGUCUUCGGCUCGUAAAACCCUGUUGUUAGAGAAGAAAGUGCGUGAGCGUAACUGUUCACGUCUCGCCGGUAUCUAACCAGCAAGCGCGGGCUAACUAAGUGCCAGCAGCCGCGGUAAUACGGAGGUGGCAAGCGUUAGCCGGAUUUGUUGGGCGUAAAGGGAACGCAGGCGGUCAUUUAAGCCUGAUGUGAAAGCCUGCGGCUUAACCGGGGUAGUGCAUUUGAAACUGGGGGACUGGAGUGCAGGAGAGGAGAGUGGAACUCCAUGUGUAGCGGUGAAAUGCGUAGAUAUAUGGAAGAACACCAGUGGCGAAGGCGGCUCUCUGGUCUGUAACUGACGCUGAGGUUCGAAAGCGUGGGUAGCAAACAGGAUUAGAUACCCGAGUAGUC
rnacentral:rRNA from 1 species